GAAUAAGUACUUUUGGUUGCCGGGUCCAACACUGAUGGGAAGUGGUGAGGGAGGUGUUGGAGGUGAUGAUGUUGGAGAAGCAUAGAGUGCUCUUUUCUCAUCAUCAGCCUCCAUUGGAAUGAAGCGCACAAUGCAGAAUGGUAUAAACCUAACGGUCAUGGGGAUGCUCUUGUUCAGCUGCUCACUCAAUCUGGCGUUCUGCUCACUCAAUCUGGCGUUCCAAUUAGGUGUAUGAUGUGAUUUACCCCUCCCAGUUUACCAAACUAAAAGUUUUACCAGACUUUGAAAUAGGCUAAACAUCCAAGCACAACCUUUUACUAGUCAGUUUGUUGCACAUAUAUACUUGGAAUUGAUUAGUUUGUUGCCAAAUUCCCAUGCUCCUACGUACACUUUGCUUUCCUUUUGCUAAUUUCAUUAGAAAACAAUAUAUGAAGGUGAACAAAGGAAUUGGCACAACGUACACCGGUGAAAUGCACAGCCCUCUGCUAGCUAAACCAAAUGUGCAAAGAUGAGUGCACUAGCUAUGUAAUUAAACAUCAUAAUUCAUAAAUCUGAGGUCCAUCUUCUCUAUGUUUAUUGAAUUUCAAGAUUCCGUUUCAAAUUUUGUUUCCUUGCAAGAUUAAUUAAGAGACAACGUUGUCACAGCCGAACUCUUACACCCUUAAUAUCUAUUCUUCUUCAAGUAUGUACCGUGUCUACACGAGUCUUUUUACCCACAUUGAUUUUCCAUCUGCUUCUUUACGUGAUCCUUCUCAAACUCAACCACUUACCAACAUAUCUACUAGUACUGAUGCUCCAGCUGCAUGCUAGUCAUUCCAGUAACUUCCGGAUGUCUUGACGAUGAGCGAUCAAUUGCAAUUUGUGCUCCAUAUAUCCCGGCCACAACGAUCAUGCAAUGUGAACUAGAGCAAAAAUGGGAUUCUAAGAAGAAGCGAGGUUAUGCCACUAGAGUUUCUUCUGAAGUUAAAAGGCCGGACAUGGACCCGUAAAGCAGCUGCCCCUAGCUUGUUCUGGAAUGAAAACAAGCCGUGAUUGAGGAGUAUCAAGAUUCAAGACAUAAAGCUAGACCAAAUUGCCUGCAAGUGGUCGGUUUUACAAAGUGAAAGAAAUCCAGAUUGCUCAUCGGAAGAUAUAAAGCUCACGGCUACUAUAGUCAAGAGGAACACAAACAUAAUGUUUAUAGAAAGAACACGCCAUACGUACUUGCAUAUACGAGCAUAAUGUUGGACACAAACAUUAUACCAUCUGUAGCUUUAUCGACUGCAGGUACUAGUAUAUCGAUUUUACUAUAUAUG